UGGGGAAUUUUGGACAAUGGGGGCAACCCUGAUCCAGCCAUGCCGCGUGAGUGAAGAAGGCCUUCGGGUUGUAAAGCUCUUUCGGCCGGGAAGAAAUCGGCGACUCUAACAUAGUCGCUGGAUGACGGUACCGGACUAAGAAGCACCGGCUAACUACGUGCCAGCAGCCGCGGUAAUACGUAGGGUGCGAGCGUUAAUCGGAAUUACUGGGCGUAAAGCGUGCGCAGGCGGUUUUGUAAGACAGAUGUGAAAUCCCCGGGCUUAACCUGGGAACUGCGUUUGUGACUGCAAGGCUAGAGUACGGCAGAGGGGGGUGGAAUUCCUGGUGUAGCAGUGAAAUGCGUAGAUAUCAGGAGGAACACCGAUGGCGGAGGCAGCCCCCUGGGCCUGUACUGACGCUCAUGCACGAAAGCGUGGGGAGCAAACAG
rnacentral:rRNA from 1 species